rnacentral:rRNA from 1 species
UCCACGUUUUCCGCGCCGUAGCUAACGCAUUAAGUGCCCCGCCUGGGGAGUACGGCCGCAAGGCUAAAACUCAAAGGAAUUGACGGGGGCCCGCACAAGCGGCGGAGCAUGCGGAUUAAUUCGAUGCAACGCGAAGAACCUUACCAAGGCUUGACAUGGACCGGACCGCCGCAGAAAUGUGGUUUCCCCUUUGGGGCCGGUUCACAGGUGGUGCAUGGUUGUCGUCAGCUCGUGUCGUGAGAUGUUGGGUUAAGUCCCGCAACGAGCGCAACCCUCGUUCCAUGUUGCCAGCGCGUAAUGGCGGGGACUCAUGGGAGACUGCCGGG